rnacentral:rRNA from 1 species
UACGUAGGGUGCGAGCGUUGUCCGGAAUUAUUGGGCGUAAAGAGCUUGUAGGCGGUUUGUCGCGUCUGCUGUGAAAAUCCGGGGCUCAACCCCGGACUUGCAGUGGGUACGGGCAGACUAGAGUGUGGUAGGGGAGACUGGAAUUCCUGGUGUAGCGGUGAAAUGCGCAGAUAUCAGGAAGAACACCCGUGGCGAAGGCGGCUCUCUGGAACGCAACUGACGCUGAGACGCGAAAGCGUGGGGAGCAAACAGG